ACAAUAUAGUCGAUGAUUUGCGCGCGUAAGAAACAAAAAACAAUGUGUUGACAACAAAUCGCAGGGCGUGUGACGUUCGUUCACUUGUUGUUUUCAUCCGCCACGCAUCCGAUUACGUUCUAAGAUAGAUCUAAUGUUGGGUGUCGCUUCGACUGUGCAGGGCGGCAGGUUUUUAAUUAGUCUCAUUAGUUAAUGACAGGUUAUACAGGGAUAGCGUGUUAUGUGGGUGGGGAAGGUGAUAUGCUUGUGUGUGUGUGGUGGUGGAGUCUGUGUCCACACACGGGCGGGGAAAAAAUGUUAAUGACAUGAUCUGUAUUGACUAGUGCUGACAUCUGUAGUACAUGUUUCAGGGACCGGCCUUGCAAAUCUCACCACAGGUCGGCGAGUCCUGAGAAGAAACGGCAUCGGAAGCACGCACGAGACGUCUCAACGUCGUCGUCAUCGUCCUCCGACUCAGACUCGUCUCGAAGUCUCCCGGUGAAGAAAGUCGAAGAGCAAGAA